GAACUAUGCAUUUUAACAAAUUUGACAACCUCUUGGCAAUACCUGUUACAAUUUUUUUGUGGUGUUCCAACAGCUGUUGACAAAAGUGUUGGAUAAUGUAAAAUUUCAGUUAGCUGAAUGGGUAAUUUGGAGGAAUGCCAUUUAGCCUGCUGUCCACAACAAAUGCAACCUGAAUUGCAACAUAACUAUUUUUUAUUAUAUAGCAACACAUUGUUGUAACUUAUUGAAAUAACACAUUGUUUACAUUACAACCAUAUAGUUCUCAAUAACAAAAUCACUUUUUUUUUUUUUAGUUUGCAGAAUGUUUCUUAAAUGAUGAGCCGCUUCAGUUUUCCACAUCUGAAAAAAGUGUGGCUGCCCUAAGAAUGUCUAUAGCUGCUUGUCUCCUGCAGAACACUGCUGACCUUAAGGACCUGUGCCAUCUGUGUGGGGAAAGAAACAGUGGUCAAAAAGUGACUAACUGGAUUGGCUGUGAUGUGUGCCCACGUUGGUUUCACUGCAACUGUGUCCAACGCUCAAGGAAACACAGAAGUUACAUCUGCCCCGUUUGUGAACCUUGAUGUGCACACUCUCAUGUUGAUUUAUUGCAAU